rnacentral:rRNA from 1 species
AACGAACGCUGGCGGCAUGCCUAACACAUGCAAGACGAACGAGACCUUCGGGUCUAGUGGCGCACGGGUGCGUAACGCGUGGGAACCUGCCCUUAGGUUCGGAAUAACUCCCCGAAAGGGGUGCUAAUACCGGAUAAUGUCUUCGGACCAAAGAUUUAUCGCCUUUGGAUGGGCCCGCGUUGGAUUAGCUAGUUGGUAGGGUAAAAGGCUACCAAGGCGACGAUCCAUAGCUGGUCUGAGAGGAUGAUCAGCCACACUGGGACUGAGACACGGCCCAGACUCCUACGGGAGGCAGCAGUGGGGAAUAUUGGACAAUGGGCGAAAGCCUGAUCCAGCAAUGCCGCGUGAGUGAUGAAGGCCUUAGGGUUGUAAAGCUCUUUUACCCGGGAUGAUAAUGACAGUACCGGGAGAAUAAGCGCCGGCUAACUCCGUG